GCUGUCUUGAGCUCUGAUUCCAUCAACAACUGUCAGUCCAUACUUUACCAAUGCAAUAUAACCAUGAAUUUCCCUUUCUUUGAUUCUUAGCAUAGUUUAUGUGCCCUUUUGUUAAUCUUUUGCAUGCUCUAGGUGCCCUUUUUCAUUGGAGUUCCCACUGUGUGAUAGGGGAAACACUAAUCUUUGAACUCUUUAUUCUAACAAAACACAAGC
rnacentral:lncRNA from 1 species